CGGCUUCAAUAGCAUAUAAUAAAGUUGUUGCAGGCAAAAAGCUCAUAGUUGGAUUUCCGGCAGGAGUGACCGAAUAACGCACUC
rnacentral:rRNA from 1 species